AUUGAACGCUGGCGGCAGGCUUAACACAUGCAAGUCGAGCGGGGUGAGGUGCUUCGGUACUGAUCCUAGCGGCGGACGGGUGAGUAAUGCUUAGGAAUCUGCCAUUUAGUGGGGGACAACAUUCCGAAAGGGAUGCUAAUACCGCAUACGUCCUACGGGAGAAAGCAGGGGAUCUUCGGACCUUGCGCUAAAUGAUGAGCCUAAGUCGGAUUAGCUAGUUGGUGGGGUAAAGGCCUACCAAGGCGACGAU
rnacentral:rRNA from 1 species